AAGCAUAUCAAUAAGCGGAGGAAAAGAAACCAACAGGGAUUGCCUCAGUAACGGCGAGUGAAGCGGCAAAAGCUCAAAUUUGAAAGCUUCGGCAUUGUAAUUUCAAGGAAUUAAAUUGACAUAAAGAAAAAGUUCAUUGGAAAAUGACGCCUUAGAGGGUGACAGCCCCGUAUCUUACAGUCUUUUAUUUUUUUCCAAAGAGUCGAGUUGUUUGGGAAUGCAGCUCUAAUGGGUGGUAAAUUCCAUCUAAAGCUAAAUACCGGCGAGAGACCGAUAGCGAACAAGUACAGUGAUGGAAAGAUGAAAAGCACUUUGAAAAGAGAGUGAAAAAGUACGUGAAAUUGUUGGAAGGGAAGGGCUUGCAAGCAGACACGGUCUAACCGGGCCAGCAUCGUGUGCUCAGGUGUCAUAAAUCCAAAAGAAUGUAAGCUUCGGUGGUUAUAUCUUUCGGCAAUAGCACCCCGGGCGCACGAGGACCGCUAAUAGGAUGCUGGCGUAAUGGUUGCAAGCCGCCCGUCUUGAAACACGGACCAAGGAGUCUAACGUCCAUGCAAGUGUUUGGGUGUAAAACCCCAGCGCGGAAUGAAAGUAAAUGGUACGACCUCUUACGAGGGCAGCACCGACCGACCUUGAAGUGCUCGGAUAGGUUUGAGUAGGAGCAUGGCUGUUGGGACCCGAAAGAUGGUGAACUAUACCUGGAUAGGGUGAAGCCAGAGGAAACUCUGGUGGAGGCUCGCAGCGGUUCUGACGUGCAAAUCGAUCGUCGAAUCUGGGUAUAGGGGCGAAAGACUAAUCGAACCAUCUAGUAGCUGGUUCCUGCCG
rnacentral:rRNA from 1 species